AACGAACGCUGGCGGCAGGCUUAACACAUGCAAGUCGAGCGCCCCGCAAGGGGAGCGGCAGACGGGUGAGUAACGCGUGGGAACGUACCUUUUGGUUCGGAACAACUCCGGGAAACUGGAGCUAAUACCGGAUAAGCCCUAACGGGGAAAGAUUUAUCGCCGAAAGAUCGGCCCGCGUCUGAUUAGCUAGUUGGUGAGGUAACGGCUCACCAAGGCGACGAUCAGUAGCUGGUCUGAGAGGAUGAUCAGCCACACUGGGACUGAGACACGGCCCAGACUCCUACGGGAGGCAGCAGUGGGGAAUCUUGGACAAUGGGCGCAAGCCUGAUCCAGCCAUGCCGCGUGAGUGAUGAAGGCCUUAGGGUUGUAAAGCUCUUUUGUCCGGGAAGAUAAUGACUGUACCGGAAGAAUAAGCCCCGGCUAACUUCGUG
rnacentral:rRNA from 1 species